UCCAGCUGCCCAUGAUUUAUAAACCAGGCCUUUGCAGUGAGAUCUGAAAUGCAUCUGACAAGCAUGGGCGUCAAGAUGGAAUCACAGACUCAGAUCUUCUUAUUUUUUCUGUUCUAUUUGUAUGGUGCCAAUGGAGACAUUGUGAUGACCCAGUCUCCUAACUCCAUGUCCACAUCAGUAGGAGACAAGGCCACCACGAGCUGCAAGGCCAGUGAGAAUGUACUUAGUUAUGUAGCAUGGUAUCAACAGAAACCAGGGCAGUAUCCUAAAAUGCUUAUAUACAGGGCAUCGAACCGGUACACUGGGGUCCCUGAUCACUUCACAGGCAAUGGAUCUGGGACAGAUUUUACUUUCACCAUCAACAGUGUGCAGGCUCAAGACCUAGUAGAUCAUUACUGUCAGGAAUACUACAGAAAUCCUCCCACAGUGCUACAGCCUCCUACACAAACCUCCUUUAGGUUCUCAUCAGCUACCUGCACCACACAGCCUUUGACAUGCAUACUUCUCUUCUGCCUGAGAACUGCUAUGCUUGUCUAA